rnacentral:misc_RNA from 1 species
GUGAGUCAUCGAAUCUUUGAACGCAACUUGCGCUCUCUGGUAUUCCGGAGAGCAUGCCUGUUUGAGUGUCAUGAAAUCUCAACCAUUAGGGUUUCUUAAUGGCUUGGAUUUGGGUGUUGCCAGUCUCUGGCUCGCCUUAAAGGAGUUAGCGAGUUUAACAAUGUCCUCUGGCGUAAUAAGUUUCGCUGGAAAGGCUUGUGAAGUUUGCUUCUAAUCGUCUUCGGACAAUUACUUUGACUCUGGCCUCAAAUCAGGUAGGACUACCCGCUGAACUUAAGCAUAUCAAUAAGCGGAGGA